AGCUAUAAAAGGCCUUGAAAUCAAAAAGGUAAAACGAUUCAAAAGAGAAAACUAAAGGCCUCAUUAAUGUACAAAAAAUGAAAGAAAAACAAAUAUGUGGCACAGCAACAAAUGACAACCACUGAAUUACAGGCUCCUGACUUGGGACUGGCACAUACAUACAGAAUAUGGCCCGGUUAAACAUGUUAGUGGGAUCCCAACUCGCACCCUAUUCUGGGACAUAGUGUGACAGUACAACAUAACGAAGACUAUAAAAUUCAGUUGAAAUAGGCUUAACUCAUCAGAUGGAUACAAAUAGAAAUACAUAUAACAAAAAAAUGUGGACGUGACGGGGUACUUGUACCUCCCAACAACAAAAAGACACUAAGUACAGAUCUCAGAGUACUUGCAGUUACUGAC
rnacentral:lncRNA from 1 species